UGGCACCUUAAGGGGAUGCCGAUCCUGCCAAGUGGGCUGAGGAAAGAGGAAGAUGGGUUUAGCUAGGGAGCAGGGAGGGGAAGGAGGCCUGUCUAUAGGUAAAGGCCACAGGGCAAGAGACAAGUCUUCCUAAGAUGACACAGCCCUACCGGAGAACUGGAGGUGGUCUGGUUGCAAGCACAGACUCACAAGGGUGACCUGCCCUUCUCUCCCCAGAGGACUGACCUCCAAAAACUUGAAGUAGGGAAUGUGGGCCUUGAACACCGGCUGCCCUGUAGAGCCACACAAGUCUCAGAGAUGUAACUCACAGGCAGUCACUAGCCAGUAACAACUGCACUGGGCUGGCGUCACUCCAAGGACUAUUCACCUGGCUGUGCUGCCAAAUCAAAAGCGGAAGAGUUCAUUUCAUCCAAAUGGAAGUUUCUCAGCAAAGGCUGCAGUGGAGAUCUGAGAGAGCCCGGUGGCUCUGAGAAUCAACCCGGCUUCAAACAAAUGGGGUCACACAGGACAGAGGCAAAGAAACAUAAGACAACCCAAAGCUGUCUUCAAAGCUAUGCGGUCACCAAGCCCGCUGGGAAAGAGGACACAGAGAAGAGCAAAGAGAAUGGGCAAACGGAAGUCAUGGUCCCAGCAACGGAUUAAUCUAACAGUGGCUUUGAAGUCAGGCAGCCUUUCUGCAAAUUUACUAUGACAUUAAAUUAACUCAGCUUUGCUGUAA